UACGGGGGGGAGCAAGCGUUGUUCGGAUUUACUGGGCGUAAAGGGCGCGUAGGCGGCUUUGCAAGUGACGGGUGAAAUCCCUCGGCUUAACCGAGGAACUGCCUGUCAGACUGCAUGGCUUGAGACCAGGAGAGGUGAGUGGAAUUCCCAGUGUAGCGGUGAAAUGCGUAGAUAUUGGGAGGAACACCAGUGGCGGAAGGCGGCUCACUGGACUGGUACUGACGCUGAUGCGCGAAAGCGUGGGGAGCAAACAGG
rnacentral:rRNA from 1 species